UCACUCGGAAGCUGUUGCUCCGAAGCAUUCCGGUUCAGUGGUGCAGUUACAUCGGGGAUAGUCAGAAGUGGCCUUGCGCUUCUGAUGAAACUUUAAAGGAUAAGGCAGGAAUUGAUGGCUUUGGUUCUGCUCCUGCACGAAAAACUUAGGCAAAGAUAAGCAUGUAGAAAGCUUAUGAUUUCCUCGUUUGGACGAGGGUUCGAAUCCCUCCAGCUCCACCA
rnacentral:tmRNA from 1 species